rnacentral:ncRNA from 1 species
AUUCUGACCUGUAUUAGGGAUAUGCUUAGAAGAACUUUUAGGUUUCAUUAAAAUCCGAAAGUCUGUAGAAAAACCACUACGGUGUUUCGUUCCAAGCGUGCAGAGUGGUGGCGUGGCGGCAACGCCCGUCGCCGUACAACUCCCGCGUGAUCCGGUUCGAGGACACUGCCAGGCGGGGAGUUUGACUGGGGCGGUACAUCUGCCAAAGAAUAACGCAGGUGUCCUGAGGCCAGCUCAGCGAGGACAGAAACCUCGCGUGACAACAUUGUUAUCAUUCCACCGGCAUACGAAGACAUCAUCAGCUAUUAAUAUAUAUUGGAAUUAUUUUAUAAGAGGACACCAUGGACAUG